UAAUUCCUAACUCUCAGCUGCCACACCCCAACCCUUCCUUUGCCACAACAGAACGCAGCAGCCCUCUCUUCUUCCCAGCAGAACGUAACACAGAUUUGUGAAAGAAAGAGAGAUCCGGAAGGGAGAAGGAGGAAGGGCGGCGCCGGCGGGCGUCACUACCGCCGCGCCGCUGUGUUGCACUGAGGAGGGGGAACCGGAGAUGUGGGACUGUGCAGUGCCGGCAAGGAGUGUUGUCACCGUUGCUGGCGCUGAGGAGAAGGAGAGACUGCGCGACAAUGAAGGAAGGGGACGCGGGCCAGAGACGCGAGGAGCGUCGCAAUCGAAGCUGCCCUGUUCAUCCCUGCCAGUCGUGGUUCUUCCACCCAUCAACCUAUUCCGUCGCUGGAGACCUCAGAGUCGCUGCUCGUUGCGCCGUCCUUGUCGCUGCCACUGCUUCCAUGUCUUCCAACGGCGCUGCUAUCGCCAUCGUGAGUCCAGAGAGGAAGCGUUGCAGCAACUGAAUCUCGAGGGACACGUUCACGAGAUGGGAGAGAGAGCGGCGGGGAGAGGGAGGCCAUGCAUCCCGUCGUGCGUGUCACUGCCCAAGGACCGCUGCUGAUCCGUGCUGUGCGAAGCCAACGGCGCUGUUCCUGCCGUCGUUAGCGCCACCGGGGUUCCGGCCAUCACUGUCGUUGAGGGAACUCACCGGAGUCGUGGAGGUUGUCACCGCUCUUUGUGGUUCUGUGUUGAGUUGCGUCGGUAAGCCUUUGCGGCCAGAAAAUGCCCCUGCUGCCGUUGCCGGAAAAUUCUGCCAUUGUCGUGAUCGGAAUUCGUCGCCACUGCCGCUUGAGGUGGCUGCCGGGCUGCCGCCGAACCGGUUCGGAGACCGCCGCUGUUUCGGUUCAGCCAUUCCUUCCUUGGUUCGAGUUGUUGAGAUUAUUGCGAAAGUGGCUUGGAACCGAGGUUUUGGCUG